rnacentral:rRNA from 1 species
AGCGUACACGGUGGAUGCCCUGGCAGUCAGAGGCGAUGAAGGACGUGCUAAUCUGCGAUAAGCGUCGGUAAGGUGAUAUGAACCGUUAUAACCGGCGAUUUCCGAAUGGGGAAACCCAGUGUGUUUCGACACACUAUCAUUAACUGAAUCCAUAGGUUAAUGAGGCGAACCGGGGGAACUGAAACAUCUAAGUACCCCGAGGAAAAGAAAUCAACCGAGAUUCCCCCAGUAGCGGCGAGCGAACGGGGAGCAGCCCAGAGCCUGAAUCAGUGUGUGUGUUAGUGGAAGCGUCUGGAAAGGCGCGCGAUACAGGGUGACAGCCCCGUACACAAAAAUGCACAUGCUGUGAGCUCGAUGAGUAGGGCGGGACACGUGGUAUCCUGUCUGAAUAUGGGGGGACCAUCCUCCAAGGCUAAAUACUCCUGACUGACCGAUAGUGAACCAGUACCGUGAGGGAAAGGCGAAAAGAACCCCGGCGAGGGGAGUGAAAAAGAACCUGAAACCGUGUACGUACAAGCAGUGGGAGCACGCUUAGGCGUGUGACUGCGUACCUUUUGUAUAAUGGGUCAGCGACUUAUAUUCUGUAGCAAGGUUAACCGAAUAGGGGAGCCGAAGGGAAACCGAGUCUUAACUGGGCGUUAAGUUGCAGGGUAUAGACCCGAAACCCGGUGAUCUAGCCAUGGGCAGGUUGAAGGUUGGGUAACACUAACUGGAGGACCGAACCGACUAAUGUUGAAAAAUUAGCGGAUGACUUGUGGCUGGGGGUGAAAGGCCAAUCAAACCGGGAGAUAGCUGGUUCUCCCCGAAAGCUAUUUAGGUAGCGCCUCGUGAAUUCAUCUCCGGGGGUAGAGCACUGUUUCGGCAAGGGGGUCAUCCCGACUUACCAACCCGAUGCAAACUGCGAAUACCGGAGAAUGUUAUCACGGGAGACACACGGCGGGUGCUAACGUCCGUCGUGAAGAGGGAAACAACCCAGACCGCCAGCUAAGGUCCCAAAGUCAUGGUUAAGUGGGAAACGAUGUGGGAAGGCCCAGACAGCCAGGAUGUUGGCUUAGAAGCAGCCAUCAUUUAAAGAAAGCGUAAUAGCUCACUGGUCGAGUCGGCCUGCGCGGAAGAUGUAACGGGGCUAAACCAUGCACCGAAGCUGCGGCAGCGACGCUUAUGCGUUGUUGGGUAGGGGAGCGUUCUGUAAGCCUGUGAAGGUGUACUGUGAGGUAUGCUGGAGGUAUCAGAAGUGCGAAUGCUGACAUAAGUAACGAUAAAGCGGGUGAAAAGCCCGCUCGCCGGAAGACCAAGGGUUCCUGUCCAACGUUAAUCGGGGCAGGGUGAGUCGACCCCUAAGGCGAGGCCGAAAGGCGUAGUCGAUGGGAAACAGGUUAAUAUUCCUGUACUUGGUGUUACUGCGAAGGGGGGACGGAGAAGGCUAUGUUGGCCGGGCGACGGUUGUCCCGGUUUAAGCGUGUAGGCUGGUUUUCCAGGCAAAUCCGGAAAAUCAAGGCUGAGGCGUGAUGACGAGGCACUACGGUGCUGAAGCAACAAAUGCCCUGCUUCCAGGAAAAGCCUCUAAGCAUCAGGUAACAUCAAAUCGUACCCCAAACCGACACAGGUGGUCAGGUAGAGAAUACCAAGGCGCUUGAGAGAACUCGGGUGAAGGAACUAGGCAAAAUGGUGCCGUAACUUCGGGAGAAGGCACGCUGAUAUGUAGGUGAAGUCCCUCGCGGAUGGAGCUGAAAUCAGUCGAAGAUACCAGCUGGCUGCAACUGUUUAUUAAAAACACAGCACUGUGCAAACACGAAAGUGGACGUAUACGGUGUGACGCCUGCCCGGUGCCGGAAGGUUAAUUGAUGGGGUCAGCGCAAGCGAAGCUCUUGAUCGAAGCCCCGGUAAACGGCGGCCGUAACUAUAACGGUCCUAAGGUAGCGAAAUUCCUUGUCGGGUAAGUUCCGACCUGCACGAAUGGCGUAAUGAUGGCCAGGCUGUCUCCACCCGAGACUCAGUGAAAUUGAACUCGCUGUGAAGAUGCAGUGUACCCGCGGCAAGACGGAAAGACCCCGUGAACCUUUACUAUAGCUUGACACUGAACAUUGAGCCUUGAUGUGUAGGAUAGGUGGGAGGCUUUGAAGUGUGGACGCCAGUCUGCAUGGAGCCGACCUUGAAAUACCACCCUUUAAUGUUUGAUGUUCUAACGUGGACCCGUAAUCCGGGUUGCGGACAGUGUCUGGUGGGUAGUUUGACUGGGGCGGUCUCCUCCUAAAGAGUAACGGAGGAGCACGAAGGUUGGCUAAUCCUGGUCGGACAUCAGGAGGUUAGUGCAAUGGCAUAAGCCAGCUUGACUGCGAGCGUGACGGCGCGAGCAGGUGCGAAAGCAGGUCAUAGUGAUCCGGUGGUUCUGAAUGGAAGGGCCAUCGCUCAACGGAUAAAAGGUACUCCGGGGAUAACAGGCUGAUACCGCCCAAGAGUUCAUAUCGACGGCGGUGUUUGGCACCUCGAUGUCGGCUCAUCACAUCCUGGGGCUGAAGUAGGUCCCAAGGGUAUGGCUGUUCGCCAUUUAAAGUGGUACGCGAGCUGGGUUUAGAACGUCGUGAGACAGUUCGGUCCCUAUCUGCCGUGGGCGCUGGAGAACUGAGGGGGGCUGCUCCUAGUACGAGAGGACCGGAGUGGACGCAUCACUGGUGUUCGGGUUGUCAUGCCAAUGGCACUGCCCGGUAGCUAAAUGCGGAAGAGAUAAGUGCUGAAAGCAUCUAAGCACGAAACUUGCCCCGAGAUGAGUUCUCCCUGACUCCUUGA